AGACUCCUACGGGAGGCAGCAGUGGGGAAUUUUGGACAAUGGGGCGCAAGCCUGAUCCAGCCAUGCCGCGUGUCUGAAGAAGGCCUUCGGGUUGUAAAGGACUUUUGUCAGGGGAGACAAAACUUACUGGUUUAAUACCUGGUGAGGUUGAGAGUACCUGAAGAAUAAGCACCGGCUAACUACGUGCCAGCAGCCGCGGUAAUACGUAGGGUGCAAGCGUUAAUCGGAAUUACUGGGCGUAAAAGCGUGCGCAGGCGGACUUUUAAGCCAGAUGUGAAAGCCCCGAGCUUAACUUGGGAAUUGCGUUUGGAACUGGGAGUCUAGAGUCUGUCAGAGGGGGGAUGGAAUUCCACGUGUAGCAGUGAAAUGCGUAGAGAUGUGGAGGAACACCGAUGGCGAAGGCAGUCCCCUGGGAUAAGA
rnacentral:rRNA from 1 species